rnacentral:rRNA from 1 species
UACAUGGGGUGCAAACGUUGCUCGGAAUUAUUGGGCGUAAAGCGCACGUAGGCGGUUCGUUAAGUCGGAUGUGAAAGCCCUCGGCUCAACUGAGGAAGUGCACCCGAAACUGGCGAGCUUGAGUACGAAAGAGGAUCGCGGAAUUCCCGGUGUAGAGGUGAAAUUCGUAGAUAUCGGGAGGAACACCGGUGGCGAAGGCGGCGAUCUGGGUCGAUACUGACGCUGAGGUGCGAAAGCGUGGGGAGCAGACAGG